AAUGAACGCUGGCGGCAGGCCUAAACAUGCAAGUCGAACGCUGUAGCAAUACAGAGUGGCGCACGGGUGAGUAACAUGUGGGAAUAUGCCUAUUGGUACGGAACAACGUUUGGAAACGAACGCUAAUACCGUAUGGUCCCUUCGGGGGUAAAGAUUUUAUCGCCAAUAGAUUAGCCCGCACUAGAUUAGCUAGUUGGUGAGGUAAGAGCUCACCAAGCCGACGAUCGGUAGCUGGUCUGAGAGGAUGAUCAGCCACACUGGGACUGAGAUACGGCCCAGACUCCUACGGGAGGCAGCAGUGGGGAAUAUUGGACAAUGGGGCAACCCUGAUCCAGCAAUGCCGCGUGAGUGAUGAAGGCCUUAGGGUUGUAAAGCUCUUUUGCCAGGGAAGAUGAUGACUGUACCUGGAGAAUAAGCCCCGGCUAACUUCGUGCCAG
rnacentral:rRNA from 1 species